rnacentral:rRNA from 1 species
UACAGAGGGUGCAAACGUUGUUCGGAAUCACUGGGCGUAAAGCGCGUGUAGGCGGCUGCGCAAGUCGGGCGUGAAAUCCCGUGGCUCAACCACGGAAGUGCACCCGAAACUGCGUAGCUGGAGUCUCGGAGAGGAAGGUGGAAUGCUUGGUGUAGAGGUGAAAUUCGUAGAUAUCAAGCGGAACACCAGUGGCGAAGGCGACCUUCUGGACGAUGACUGACGCUGAGACGCGAAAGCGUGGGGAGCAAAC